rnacentral:rRNA from 1 species
AGUGAACGCUGGCGGCGUGCCUAAUACAUGCAAGUCGAACGGAGUGGCGCACGGGUGAGUAAUGUAUAGCUAAUCUGCCCUACACUAGAGGACAAAAGUUGGAAACGACUGCUAAUACUCUAUAGUGUAGGUUGAGGCUAUAUUGUAUCAGCUAGUUGGUGAGGUAAUGGUUCACCAAGGGUAUGACGCGUAACUGGUCUGAGAGGAUGAUCAGUCACACUGGAAGUGAGACACGGUCCAGAAUCCUUCGGGAGGCAGCAGAAGGGAAUAUUGCUCAAGGCGGGAAACCCUGAAGCAGCAACGCCGCGUGGAGGAUGACACUUUUCGGAGCAUAAACUCCUUUUGUUAGGGAAGCGGUACCUAACGAAUAAGCACCGGCUAACUCCGUGCCAGCAGCCGCGGUAAUUC